AGGAGCCCGAUAGAGAGGCGGCGGCGGAGGAGGGAGCUCGGUGAGUAGCGGUGAGAGGAAAGGGGUUGGGUCAGGCUAGAGAUUUGGAGAAUUUUAUGGAUCCCAACGAUGCUUAUUAGCAUCGUCCUAUUUUUGGCUUCCGACGAUACUUUUAUGUGUCAUAACAUCACAACACUUUGUAAAAAAUAUCGAGAAACCCCAUAUCUCAUUGUCGGUGCUUCUAAGCAUCCUCAUUUUCCAACGUAAUGAAAAAACAUCGAUAAAUUUCGGCACGGUUCGUUAAUUAAUGAUGCUUCUAUCUAGUGUUGGCAAAUUUGCCUCAAAAUUCCCACCUUUUCCUGUAGUGCUGAUUGCUUUUAAAUUUUUAUAUUAUUAUUUGCAUAUUCUCAUGCUGGUAUGUUGAUUAACAAGAAAUUUUUGGCAAAUUUAUAAAUGCUUUUAUCUUAAGAUUUGGACAAGUAGUUAAUGCUUCAUUUGUUCCUAUGGUGCCGGAGUUUGCUUAUUUUGCAAAAUCAAUCAACUUAAGAUUUCCUAGGUCUGCAUUCCAUCUCUCUAAUGUCAUUGAAUUUUGGGAGACUGUAAUUAGGAAUGUUAUUAUUUACCACCAAGAGUAACAUCUUAACUCUUCGAUGAUCAAUUUUCUUCCUUUGACAAAUAUUUUUUGUUUGGUGCUCAGUCUAUGUGUUCUUAUUUUUAGGGCUGAGCAUUUAUUUCUAUCCAAUGUAAUUAGUUCUUCAUUUAAUACUAGCAUUAUAAGGGAAUAUGCAUCUCAUCCCAUCCUAAUGAGAAAUCCUAAGAAAUGUUGAGAAACUAUCAAGUAAACAUAACAUGAUUAUUGGAACCACUUUCUUAUUAUUAAUUAUGCUAUUGUAAAUUAUAUGCAAUACCUCCUUUAGGGUGUGAAAGUGAUGAAACUUUAAUAAAAUAUUAAUUUUUGUUUGUGAAAGGAUGUAGUAAGAAGAAAAGUUGUUAUUAAACUUUUUUGAGCAUCAAGGUCAUAUUUUGGUGUGAUCUGUCAAAGAUUAUUUAUCAAUCUUACUAGAGUUUAGUAUGUUGAAUUUAAUUUAGUCUUUUUAGGCUAUAAGUUGAUGAUGUGUCUAUUUGGUUCUCAAAUGUUUCCUUUGGUGGAGCAGUAUCAUAUCUGAUGAUAUGGUGCUUCAGUAGUUGAGUUGUAUGGGCUUACACAUUAUAUCAAAGAUGGAAAUUUGUCGUACCAUCACAUCCAAAUUCAUACGAGAUCCUAUAGUGGUAUCAAUUUUUAAGGUUAGAUUUGGGAGAAAUCUCUUAGGAUGGAAAGUGAAAACCCAUUGUUGCUCAUUAGAUUUCAACCUCAUGUAAGUGUGAGAUCGUAAUAUGAGAAUGUAAAUGUGCAAUCUUCGGAAGUUAGAUUGUUGUAAUUUUUUGAGAAUUCUCAUUUUUUUGGGUUCUUUAUUAAUUAGAGGAAUGAUGAGUUAGAACGUACGAUAUCCAGUGUCUAUAGAAACAUUUAGGUGAAACAUUACUUGCAUUUAGACUUUGAUUAGUAACUUGACUAAAUCAUUCAUCGUAUGUUGUUAAAAAAACAUGUGCUUGCACGCUAAGGAGUGGAGAUGUGGAGGACAUGGUGGAUAAAAUCAAUAUCAUUACGAUUUAGUUCGUACGCUGCUUGAUUCUCCAAUCAAGUAUUAGAGUUAUUUUUUUUGAUUUUGUUUCUUUAUUAGCUUUGAACCAAAGAUCUUGACAACUUAAUCAUAGCUUCAUUAAUUAAGUCAUGGUGAAAGCUUGACCUUAGCAAAUCAGAAUAUGGAAGCUUUGCAUUGAUGGGGCUUAAUUAAUAUCUUUUAGACAAUAAAACUAAGAUUUGGAAAGCAAAGGAUGAUGAAAUGUUAGUUUUGAAUCUGACAGAUGGUGUGCUGCUAAUUUUUAUUCCGAUGAUCAAUAUAUGUAGAUGUUGAUGAUAGAGUACUGUAAUGUAUAUAUAUUUCUAUAGACUAAUCAUCAUGAAUUGAGGGUAAAUAGGUGGAACUGGAAAUAUAUAUUGUUUUUAAUGAGAGCUAGGUCAAAUUUUCUUGAAGUUCAUGGAAUGAUGAUUUUUUGUGAUGGGCAUGUUAGGGAAAGGGGAUAUUAGGUGGGCAUUGCCAAUAUCAUUUCCAGCUCAUUUUGGAUCAUUAGUUAUAGCUAUUAUUAUGCUUAUAUAUCAAAUCAAGGUCAAUUUCAAGCCAGCGUGGAAAGUUGAUAGUUGAUAAAUUUUCGACCAAGCUCUAUUGGGGAGCAUCUGAUCGAAAGUUUGAUUUAACUUGAUUUUUUUAGGUUUAUUAUAUAUUUGUUAGAGUGAAGAUUGUAUGAUAUUUUGGUCAUGGUGGAUACUAGGAUGGAUUGUGGACUCAGAAGGAAGGGUGAGGUAGGGUUUCAUAUUAGAGUCAGCAAAAUAAGCCCGAUCCAUGGCCCGAUGCAUGCAGCUCAAUUUCCGACAGUAACUGUUAUAUUUUGAUCGAAGAUAGUGUUUCUAGUCAUAGACAACCAGCCAAAAAAGCAGGUGCAUGACACUGUUGGAUUGAGGAGCAAAAGAUAGAAUACAUUAUUUUUAUCACAUGAAAUUUUUCAGGGAUAUAUGGUAGCCCACUUUUACACUUUUAUUUAUAUUGGUUGAGGUCCUACUGGUAAGUGAAAUGUUUGCCGACCACGAACAAUCAUUGGAACAGCAAUGCACACACGCAUGACUGCCGUAUUUGUACAUCAUCUCUCAUAUGUUCAUAUAACAACGUAGGAGCAGCAUGCUUGCAAUAUGACAUUAGUAAUUUAAAGAGUCAUCAAUAUUGAAUAUUUCAUAUUAAAAAGUGUGGCAAAAUGUCAGAACAUGAAUGAUUAUAUGGACAUGGCUGCCAUUUGUUUCAGUAAUAUUACUCAACAUCCAGUUGAUGUGUUUUUGUUUUCCCCUUACAAUGUCAAACUUAUCCUUUUCUAAAGUAAGGUGCAUGGGACUGCAGAGAUUUAUUUCCUGAAACAGUGGAUGCAAGUCUUCCUUGUCCCCGAAAGUGCAAAUAAUAAUCCCAAUAAAAGGCAGUAAGCAGAGAUAUAUGAAAACUAGGAACCCGCCCCUAAAUCAAAAUAGACAAAUAAAGACUCCCAAUUACAAAUAAUAAUCCCAAUAAAAAGUACAAAUAAUAAAACUUAAUUAAAGACACUAGGUUGGAGGAUAAUUAGCACUUUUUGUUAACACUUGGAGUCAACCAUGUUCUCUAAAGCAUAAAGGAUCGUCUCAUAGGCCGCUCUCUAUUAUACUGCUAUUGAUUGGAUUAUGUUUUUUUUUAAGGCAAAUCAAAUAGUGCUAAUCCAGACACCUUUUUGUUGAGGUUAUCAAUGUUGAGGUUCUCAUGGUAACUGAAAACAACCUUAACUGUGCAAUUAUAUAUGUAAAAGACAAGUAGUGCAAACGAAUCGAGUGCCAACAUUUUGUUGAGAGCAAGCCAUUUUGAAAGGAAUUCCAAGAAAACUGAGAGCAAAUUAAAGAGAAUGCACCAACUGUUUAGUCCAGAUACGGUGCAGAUACCAUUUUCAAGGUUCGUACAGAUUCCAUCCUAGAAAUUUUCUCUAGUAACUAGUAUCUUUCUCUGGUGAACAGCAGGCAGUGCUUGUAGUUUAAUAGACCAAUUGAAACCUUAUCUUAAAUUAGCAAUUAAUGUUGAUGAGUAUCUCCCCAAUAUCUCCACUCUUCACAAGUUAUCUCCACAUUUAUUUUGCAAAAUAGUUAGUUUUUCCUCCAUUUUUAUUACUCCGAAACCCCUUCGAGCCUUCCUGUCCAAGUCAUGGAUUUUUAAACUUAAUGGAACCAGCUCCAGGUACUGGUGAAAUUGGUCAUGACUGCUGCGAUGGAUAAAUUACAGAAAACUGGGUUCUCAGGAUUUGUCUGCCACUGAAUGAAAGGUAAGUAUAUAUCCUUCCAUCUACUAGUCUAGUACCAAUCUUUUGGAUUCUCUACUUGCUUUAGAGUGAGAAUUUUUUCUUUGAGCUACUCAGGGAUGAGUUUCACCUUUGCACGCUAACAGAAAUUUGCAUGAUAAAUGACUGCAAACUCUGAGAAGUGUAUGGUUCAGGUAAGUUUCAAGAAUUUACUGAGGAAAUUAUGAUGAAGAGGUAGCUCAACCAGUUAAACCAUCACAGUCCUUUUCUGCUCCUAGAGAUACCAUUAAGAAGCACUUUCUAAUAAUCCACCCCUCCCAUGUUCUCGUAGACAUCCAGAAGUGAAGGCCUGAUUAUCACUCUCUUUCAAUAGGAUACUACAGGGUGGUUCGAUAUUUCUUGCUCCUUUAACUUCUAAAUUAAAUUUCACAAGAGCCCCCUUGAAUGAAUUCAAAAAAUAUUUUCACGAACUGUUCCUGAUCUGAAAGUUGCUGCUGUUGUCAGAAUUUUUCAGCCUAAUUGAUCGAUCAGUCUACUCUCCCAAUUUUUUAGCAGCCCUCUAGUUCGAAAGAAGUGCAGAUAGGCAUUCUUACCCUUCUGGUGCACAAGCAAUAAGGCCAGGGACUCUCUUGGAUGCUGACUGUAAGUACCGUCUCUUCCUUGAAUGGUUUUAGAUUUUCCCUUUGUUCAUAGCGAUGGUCAGACCUGAUAGGCAGCAUCAUGCUCAUACAUUUUUUCUAGACGCGCUAAUUCUCUUCAGAGUUUAAUUUAGUCAUCCAUUUUUAGUUCUUCUUGCUGUCAUUAGCAGUCUCAAGGAUGUGGAUAGUGUUAGUAUCCCGUCCUAGACAUACAAACCUAUGCAGUAUCCUCACUUCUAAAGGUAGGAGUCCUACUUCCAAACUCGUACCUUAAAACCCCGGUCCUAUAUAAGAGAAGGGCCAUUUGGCUCUUUUAAAUUUCAAGUCCAGUAUAUGGUUCUGAUUCUUGGAUACACAUCCAAGAUAUUCAUCAAUGUAGCCUUUGUAAAAAGAGGUUCCAAGUUGCUUAGUAUUCUAAACCAACCUAGUAAAAUAUACACCUUCAUAUUUGGAAGGAAAGCUCUUCUGAAAAGAAAGAGGCAAGAUGCUGUUAUGUCUCUUCUUUUGGGGUUUGUUAACUUAUCCAGCUGACUGUAAAGAAAGACAGCUUGGCACCCUUCCAGUUUAGUCGGGACAGGGUAUAAAAAGAUGCCUUCUGUGAUGGCUCCUUCAGUGACAUAAUGUUUUGGUGUUGUUCUUGUAACUUCUCGAGCAUAAUGCGAACAUCCUACCAACUUGGUGGUGGCGAACUUCUUUGUGAUGACUUCAGCAAGCAUGAACGACGCAAAAAAAAAAAAAAAAAAAUCAUUGUUUUUCUUUUCACCUUUUAGAAGAUGACACGGCAAUAUUCAUCUGGAAAUUUUCUUUUGCAAAUGUCCCCUGUAAAAUGAAACAUCAUUUGAUCACAAUGAGCUGAACUUGGCAUUACAAUUUUCAUUUAUCUUUGAAUGAUGCGAUUGCUACACUGGAUUUUAUACAGAAUUAUGCAUUACUGGGUCUACCAACAAGGAUAUAUGGGCAUGCGUACUUGAUAAAGUUUCUCAGCAAAUCUGGUUGGAACUAAAGACAGGAUUGAAGAUGCCACCAGGAUGCUGGUAGGAAACCCCAAUACAAUCGAUGUACUUGUGGUGGCUGUAAAAAUAGAAUCUGUUGUCAGUCCCAUUCAGCAGUUACCUACUGUAGCUGCUUUAAAAGAGCUUUAAUACCUUCAUUCAAGUAGAUAUUAUUAGUUCUUUUUCACCAGAGAGUGGGAAGCACCAGAGGUAAUUCAUGCUGCUCGGCCGUUGUGUUUGCUGUACCCACUCUGUCUCCUCAUAUUUUUUAUAGGUAUGACACUUAAUGCAUGACGAAUCAUAUGCGAUGAAAAGAUUUUUGUCAGCACCAAAACCAGCUUGGGAAGCAGGAGAUCGUACCAUCUUGAGUUGUGGCCACUUGCUAUUGGACACCUCCGAGAGCUCGCCAAGGCAAUGCAGGUUGGUGGGUACACUUUCAGCUGGGAGUGCGAAGCCCAAGCCAAUGUUGGAAGAUGCUCCCUCCAGUGGUAAAGAGACGAGCCGACUCUUGUAGCUGAUCUCCGCCACCGUGGACUUCAGGAAAACAGAGGGCCUUUGUGGGGAUUGAUGAGACUUGCUUGUCGGGAUCUUUUCUUUCUUUUUUUCUUCUUCUUUUGUUUGAGGUUUUCUAUUUUAUAAUUUUACUUUAAUCCGUGUGGCAAGUUAGGUUUAUUUUCUUUUCUUAAAAAAAAAUCUCUCCCUGAGUACAACUUCAAUUUUUUUAUUUUCCAAAUUCUUUUU